AAGUCGUAACAAGGUUUCCGUAGGUGAACCUGCGGAAGGAUCAUUAAAAGUUAAGCGCCCAAAUGAAGCCAUUUACGGCCAAUUUUGCGGUAGCAAAACCAUGUGUUAUCGAAUUGUGUAUUGCUGGCGAGAAAAUAGGGCCACUUUUCAAAAGUGCCCUUGGCGUGUCGGAGGUGGGCCUUUUUGGGCUAUCCUCUGUACCGCGGCUCGCCAGCCAUAUAAACAAAGACAAAACAUGUUGACUGAUAUAUAUAUUGAUAGCCGUCUUGCUUUGCAAGUUUAGGCCAUAAUUAAUACAACUGUUAGCCACGGAUCACUCGGUUCUC
rnacentral:misc_RNA from 1 species